AGUUGCACAGCUGCCUGGUAGGUGACUGGAGGCAUUGAGCAGUGUGCUCACUGGUAUUUCGCUGAUGUGGCCCCAACCCCGCCUCCCUCCCCACCCCGCGAUGUCAGAAAAAACACAACAGGGGAAAUUGGCCGCAGCCAAGAAAAAGUUAAAAGCAUAUUGGCAGAGGAAGAGCCCUGGCAUUCCAGCAGGAGCUAACAGGAAAAAGAAAAUCAAUGGCAGUAGCCCUGACACAGCCACUUCUGGUGGUUACCACUCACCUGGGGAUUCAGCAACAGGUAUCUACGGAGAAGGCCGUGCAUCCUCUACUACCCUGGAGGAUCUGGAGAGCCAGUACCAAGAACUAGCAGUGGCCCUGGAUUCAAGCUCCGCAAUAAUCAGUCAACUCACUGAAAACAUCAAUUCACUGGUUCGCACAUCUAAGGAGGAGAAGAAGCAUGAGAUACAUCUGGUACAGAAGCUUGGGAGGAGCUUGUUCAAACUCAAAAACCAGACGGCUGAACCCCUGGCCCCAGAGCCCCCAGCAGGGCCAUCUAAGGUAGAGCAGCUACAAGAUGAGACCAACCACCUAAGGAAGGAGCUAGAGAGUGUGGGAAGACAGCUCCAGGCUGAGGUGGAAAACAAUCAGAUGUUGAGUCUCCUGAACAGGAGACAGGAGGAGAGGCUACGUGAACAGGAGGAGAGGCUACGUGAACAGGAGGAGAGGCUACGUGAACAGGAGGAUAGGCUACAUGAACAGGAGGAGAGGCUACGUGAACAGGAGGAGAGGCUGUGUGAACAGGAGGAGAGGCUACGUGAACAUGAGGAGAGGCUGUGUGAACAGGAGGAGAGGCUAUGUGAACAGGAGGAGAGGCUACGUGAACAGGAGGAGAGGCUGUGUGAACAGGAGGAGAGGCUACGUGAACAGGAGGAGAGGCUGUGUGAACAGGAGAAGCUGCCAGGGCAGGAGAGGCUGCUGGAAGAGGUGGAGAAGCUGUUAGAACAGGAGAGGCGGCAGGAGGAGCAGGAGAGGCUGCUGGAGAGGGAGAGGCUGCUGGAAGAGGUGGAGAAGCUGUUAGAACAGGAGAGGCGGCAGGAGGAGCAGGAGAGGCUGCUGGAGAGGGAGAGGCUGCUGGACGAGGUGGAGGAGCUCCUGGACGAGGUGGAGGAGCUCCUGGAGCAGGAGAGGCUUCGGUAACAGGAUGAGAGGCUGUGGCAGCAGGAGACUCUGCGGGACUGGAGAGGCUGCGGGAGCUGGAGAGGAUGCUGGAGCUGGGGUGGGAAGCCCUGUACGAGCAGCGGGCCGAGCCACGCAGCGGCUUCGAGGAGCUGAACAACGAGAACAAGAGCACACUGCAGUUGGAGCAGCAAGUAAAGGAGCUGGAGAAGUCGGGUGGAGCUGAAGAGCCAAGAGGCUCCGAGUCUGCAGCAGCAGCCAGACCAGUACCUGGAGCCCCAGUCCCACAAGGAGCUUGGAUGUGCGGACAAGCAGGGUGGACUCCCCAGGAGCACCCAGGCUUGGGUGGAGAAGCUGUUGGUACAGGAGAGGCGGCAGGAGGAGCAGGAGAGGCUGCAUGCCAUUCUUUUCGGGCUGCCGAGAACAGGGAGCUAAACAUCACCAUCAUCUAAGAGCGGGUCAAGGAAUUAAAAAAAAACAACAAAACGUUUAAGGGGUUAAUAUCCU